CAAUAGCGCACAUCAAAAUUUUUGCGGCUAAAAAGCUCGUAGUUGGAUUUCUGCCGAGGACGACCGGUCCGCCCUCUGGGUGAGUAUCUGGCUCGGCCUGGGCGUCUUCUUGGAGAACGUAGCUGCAGCGUGGAAUAAUAAGAUAGGACAUUGGUUCUAUUUCGUUGGCUUCUACAGCUGAGGUAAUGAUUAAUCGGGGUAGUUGGGGGCAUUCGUAUUUAACUGUCAGAGGAAAGAUUCUUGGAUUUGUGAAAGACGGACUACUGCGAAAGCAUGUGCCAAUGAUGUUUUCAUUCA
rnacentral:rRNA from 1 species